rnacentral:rRNA from 1 species
GCCACAGCCAUAUCACCCUGCAGCCCAAGACUGGUUGCCCACUGAAGCUAAGCACGGUUGAGCCUGGUCAGUACCUGGAUGGGAGACCUCCUGGGAAAACUAGGUUGCUGCUGGAA